AGCGAACGCUGGCGGCAGGCUUAACACAUGCAAGUCGAGCGGGCACUUCGGUGUCAGCGGCAGACGGGUGAGUAACACGUGGGAACGUACCCUUUGGUUCGGAAUAACGCUGGGAAACUAGCGCUAAUACCGGAUACGCCCUUUUGGGGAAAGGCUUGCUGCCGAAGGAUCGGCCCGCGUCUGAUUAGCUAGUUGGUGGGGUAAUGGCCUACCAAGGCGACGAUCAGUAGCUGGUCUGAGAGGAUGAUCAGCCACACUGGGACUGAGACACGGCCCAGACUCCUACGGGAGGCAGCAGUGGGGAAUAUUGGACAAUGGGCGCAAGCCUGAUCCAGCCAUGCCGCGUGAGUGAUGAAGGCCUUAGGGUUGUAAAGCUCUUUUGUCCGGGACGAUAAUGACGGUAUCGGAAGAAUAAGCCCCGGCUAACUUCGUG
rnacentral:rRNA from 1 species